UACGUAGGGUGCAAGCGUUGUCCGGAAUUAUUGGGCGUAAAGAGCUCGUAGGCGGUUUGUCGCGUCUGCUGUGAAAACCCGAGGCUCAACCUCGGGCCUGCAGUGGGUACGGGCAGACUAGAGUGCGGUAGGGGAGAAUGGAAUUCCUGGUGUAGCGGUGGAAUGCGCAGAUAUCAGGAAGAACACCCGUGGCUAAGGCGGCUCUCUAGUACGGUACUGACGCUGAGACGCGAAAGCGUGGGAGCGAACAGG
rnacentral:rRNA from 1 species